GACGAACGCUGGCGGCGUGCUUAACACAUGCAAGUCGAACGGAAAGGCCCUGCUUUUGUGGGGUGCUCGAGUGGCGAACGGGUGAGUAACACGUGAGUAACCUGCCCUUGACUUUGGGAUAACUUCAGGAAACUGGGGCUAAUACCGGAUAGGAGCUCCUGCUGCAUGGUGGGGGUUGGAAAGUUUCGGCGGUUGGGGAUGGCCUCGCGGCUUAUCAGCUUGUUGGUGGGGUAGUGGCUUACCAAGGCUUUGACGGGUAGCCGGCCUGAGAGGGUGACCGGCCACAUUGGGACUGAGAUACGGCCCAGACUCCUACGGGAGGCAGCAGUGGGGAAUAUUGCACAAUGGGCGGAAGCCUGAUGCAGCAACGCCGCGUGCGGGAUGACGGCCUUCGGGUUGUAAACCGCUUUCGCCUGUGACGAAGCGUGAGUGACGGUAAUGGGUAAAGAAGCACCGGCUAACUACGUG
rnacentral:rRNA from 1 species